rnacentral:rRNA from 1 species
ACGAACGCUGGCGGCAGGCCUAAUACAUGCAAGUCGAGCGGUCCCUUCGGGGGCAGCGGCGGACGGGUGAGUAACGCGUGGGAACGUGCCCUUUGGUACGGAACAACUGAGGGAAACUUCAGCUAAUACCGUAUGUGCCCUUCGGGGGAAAGAUUUAUCGCCAUUGGAGCGGCCCGCGUUGGAUUAGCUAGUUGGUAGGGUAACGGCCUACCAAGGCGACGAUCCAUAGCUGGUCUGAGAGGAUGAUCAGCCACACUGGGACUGAGACACGGCCCAGACUCCUACGGGAGGCAGCAGUAGGGAAUCUUGCGCAAUGGGCGAAAGCCUGACGCAGCCAUGCCGCGUGAAUGAUGAAGGUCUUAGGAUUGUAAAAUUCUUUCACCGGGGACGAUAAUGACGGUACCCGGAGAAGAAGCCCCGGCUAACUUCGUGCCAGCCGCCGCGGUAAAAC